AGCCCAUGCCUCACCCUGAACCGAAACCUGAGCCAAAGCCCGAACCUAAGCCUGAGCCAAAACCCAUGCCCGAGCCAAAACCUGAACCAAAACCCAUGCCCGAGCCUAAGCCGGAACCUAAGCCUGAGCCAAAACCUGAACCAAAACCUAAGCCUGAGCCAAAACCUGAACCAAAACCUAAGCCUGAGCCAAAACCCAUGCCCGAGCCGAAACCUGAACCAAAACCCAUGCCCGAGCCUAAGCCUGAGCCAACACCCGUGCCCGAGCCAAAGCCGGAACCUAAGCCCGAGCCGAAACCCAUGCCCGAGCCAAAACCCAAGCCCGAGCCAAAGCCGGAACCCAAGCCCGAGCCAAAGCCGGAACCUAAGCCCAAGCCGGAACCCAAGCCCGAGCCAAAGCCGGAACCUAAGCCCGAGCCGAAACCCAAGCCCGAGCCAAAGCCGGAACCCAAGCCCGAGCCAAAGCCCGAACCGAAGCCAAAGCCGAAGCCGG
rnacentral:lncRNA from 1 species